AUUUUUCUUUCUUUUGUCAUCAAACCAUUUGGAGUCAAAUGGCAAAUUAUUUUUCCUAAAAUUAUAAAAUUAUAUUUUUGUAGAAAAUUCUAAAAUUAAUAUCGGCGCUUGGAAUCGGAAUCUUUUUCGCAUCCUUACAUUUAUAGGGUAGACAUAAAUAAAGCCAAGAAAAUUCUAAAAUUAUAAAUAAAGUACCUCAAGGCAAAGAAAAUUCUAAAAUUAAGACGAAACCAAGCUAAUAUUAAAUAUAAAUACAGUACCUCAAGGCAAAGUGCCUCCUUUGAUAAAUCCUCGACAAGAAGUUGGAGACAGUGAUGUGGGGAAUUCUGGGAACUUGUUGGAGGAAAGUCAAAUGUUCAAUCCUCCACAAGAUGUUGGAGACAGUGAUGUGGGGAUUUCUGGGAACUUGUUGGAAGAAAGUCAAAUGUUCAAUCCUCCACAAGAAGUUGGAGACAGUGAUGUGGGGAUAAUUUGUACUUUGUUUAUUCAUAAUUGCAUAAUGCUCUUCUUUAGAUUUAUCAGGAUGGUGGUGAAUAUGUUUCAAUGUAAAUUUCAUUUUAUUACAAAUUCAAUUGUUUUUUAGAUAUUUUUAUUAUUAAUUGUAAAAAAUGCUAACAUAUAAAAAUUGAAUUUAUUAUUCUUUGGGAAAGUAAAAUUAUAUUGAAAGUUUAUAUUUAUAUUGAGAUUGAAUGGUGUUAUAUCUGUGAGGAAAAGAUUGGUGAAAUGGAUUACAUCUUUUCCAUCUAUGAAAUUUUUUUUCU